GACGAACGCUGGCGGCGUGCUUAACACAUGCAAGUCGAACGGUAAGGCCCUUCGGGGUACACGAGUGGCGAACGGGUGAGUAACACGUGGGUGAUCUGCCCUGCACUUCGGGAUAAGCCUGGGAAACUGGGUCUAAUACCGGAUAGGACCACUGCCUGCAUGGGUGGUGGUGGAAAGCUUUUGCGGUGUGGGAUGGGCCCGCGGCCUAUAAGCUUGUUGGUGGGGUGAUGGCCUACCAAGGCGACGACGGGUAGCCGGCCUGGGAGUGUGACCGGCCACACUGGGACGGAGAUACGGCCCAGACUCCUACGGGAGGGAGCAGUGGGGAAUAUUGCACAAUGGGCGCAAGCCUGAUGCAGCAACGCCGCGUGAGGGAUGACGGCCUUCGUGUUGUAAACCUCUUUCAGCACCGACGAAGCGCAAGUGACGGUAGGUGCAGAAGAAGGACCGGCCAACUACGUGCCAGCAGCCGCGGUAAAAC
rnacentral:rRNA from 1 species